rnacentral:rRNA from 1 species
AUUGAACGCUGGCGGCAGGCCUAACACAUGCAAGUCGAGCGGAGGAAGGGAGCUUGCUCCUGGAUUCAGCGGCGGACGGGUGAGUAAUGCCUAGGAAUCUGCCUGGUAGUGGGGGAUAACGUCCGGAAACGGGCGCUAAUACCGCAUACGUCCUGAGGGAGAAAGUGGGGGAUCUUCGGACCUCACGCUAUCAGAUGAGCCUAGGUCGGAUUAGCUAGUUGGUGGGGUAAAGGCCUACCAAGGCGACGAUCCGUAACUGGUCUGAGAGGAUGAUCAGUCACACUGGAACUGAGACACGGUCCAGACUCCUACGGGAGGCAGCAGUGGGGAAUAUUGGACAAUGGGCGAAAGCCUGAUCCAGCCAUGCCGCGUGUGUGAAGAAGGUCUUCGGAUUGUAAAGCACUUUAAGUUGGAAGGAAGGGCAGUAAGUUAAUACCUUGCUGUUUUGACGUUACCAACAGAAUAAGCACCGGCUAACUUCGUG